rnacentral:ncRNA from 1 species
CUAUGGCGAAAUUACGUCAUGGCGGAAGGAG